UCACGUUUCUUUUCAUCCAUAAAGCUUCCAAGAAGCUUCUCAUCAUCCUUAAGAUCGCUUCAGAGAAACUGUCAUCCACCAUUAAGAAAGCUUCAGAGAAGCUUCUACAGUGGUAAUUCAGUCAUCUGCUUCAAGCUUCGGAGAAGCUUUGCGUUAUUUCUCAUCUUCUCUGGUAACCUUCGGCGCUUCAAUCAAUUCAGGAAGAAUCAACGACAACAUGAAUCCAUCGUCGCCACCGCGUUCAGCCACACCAAACUCUCCUCGAACCUUGGAAACCCUAAAUUCACUAUCCACCCGCUCAAAUUCCUCCGGUAG